rnacentral:rRNA from 1 species
UUCGCAAUGCCCGAAAGGGUGACGAAGCGACGCCGCGUGGGUGAAGAAGGCCUUCGGGUUGUAAAGCCCUGUCAGGAGUUAUGAAAUGUAGGUGCGAUAAUACCGUGCCUAUUUGACAAAGGCUCCAAAGGAAGCCACGGCUAACUCUGCGCCAGCAGCCGCGGUAAUACAGAGGUGGCUAGCGUUGUUCGGAAUUAUUGGGCGUAAAGAGCACGAAGGUGGAUUUGUAAGUCAGAUGUGAAAGCCUUCUGUUCAAAGGAAGAACGCCAUCUGAAACUGCAGAUCUUGAGUGUAGGAGGGGAGAGUGGAACUUCUGGUGGAGCGGUGAAAUGCGUAGAUAUCAGAAGGAACGUCGGCGGCGAAAGCGACUCUCUGGCCUAUUACUGACACUGAGUGUGCGAAAGUUAGGGGAGCAAACGGGAUUAGAUACCCCGGUAGUCCUAACUGUAAACGAUGGGCACUAAGUAGAGGGGUUUU